UGAGGAAUAUUGGUCAACGGACGAGAGUCUGAACCAGCCAAGUAGCGUGCAGGAUGACGGCCCUAUGGGUUGUAAACUGCUCUUGUUUGGGAAUAAUCGACAUUACGUGUAAUGUUUUGCAUGUACCAUUCGAAUAAGGACCGGCUAAUUCCGUGCCAGCAGCCGCGGUAAUACGGAAGGUUCGGGCGUUAUCCGGAUUUAUUGGGUUUAAAGGGAGCGUAGGCCGUUUGGUAAGCGUGUUGUGAAAUGUAGGAGCUCAACUUCUAGAUUGCAGCGCGAACUGUCAGACUUGAGUGCGCACAACGUAGGCGGAAUUCAUGGUGUAGCGGUGAAAUGCUUAGAUAUCAUGAAGAACUCCGAUUGCGAAGGCAGCUUACGGGAGCGCGACUGACGCUGAAGCUCGAAGGUGCGGGUAUCGAACAGG
rnacentral:rRNA from 1 species